UAUGCGCGAAAAUAAUUUCGUCCGUCGCUUCUCAUUAGUAAUCGGCCGAUCAUCCCUGAGUCGUGUGGGAGAGUUUUUGCACAGGUUCGUGUUUGCCGUAUUGCAAUAUGGUAGUUGUUAAAAAAUUUUCUUGGAUAUCAUAAUCACAAAUAGAUAGAUAUAUGUAAAUGUGUUUAGUUUGUGAGACGAUGGCUCCUUUAGGCAAAAUUAAUCAGUGUGCGAAUCGUGGGUGCAAUAAUGUAAGAAAAUGUAAAAACAAUGUUCUCAGUUUUUUUCAAAUUUCCAAUUUUAAAACCAGUGUUGCUUAGCCAGUGGAUAGAAAAUAUAGGCAAUGCGGAAACAUAUGUUAUGGAUGAAAAUUUAUUAAAAAACAAAGUGGUUUGCGAAAAACAUUUUGACAAAAUAUAUAUUGCAGUAAGUAAUAAGCGAAAGAGACUUUUAAAAUCCGCUGUACCAAUUUCAUGGAAAGAACCGGCCUCUAGAAACACAAUUUCUUUGUCUGAUACCUGAUGUAACGCUCAAAGCCUUGAGAGUUUAGAUGCAAAAGUUUUAUCAAUAAAUUGGGAAAAUGCGGACACCAUCAAAACUUAUUCCAGAAAGAGAAAUCCAGCAGUUGACGAUGAUAAUGAUGAGGCAGAUAUAAAUUUAUUUAUUUAUAGUGUUAAGCGUUUAUGUACCACCCCCGAAAACCCUGUAACUGAAAAAAAAGAAUUAUGUAAAAUAAUAAGCCCAGAACGACAGGCAAAUGAACUAUGUCAAAUAUCAAGUCCCUCAUCCACAAAAUCCGAUACAAAAAAACAGUUGGGUGCUGUACAUUUUAAAAUAGAUGUUUUAAAAAACCAAAUUAGGGCUAAAAGAAUGCAACAUAUCCGUUUAAAAAGAAAAAGAAAUGUAAAUACAAAUAUUUUUAGAGUUUAGGGGAGUUACUCUAGAAUGGUUAAAAUUUUGUUUUGUUAGACAGAAAAAAGUUUGUUUGGCCAAAUGGCAGUUUGUCUGAACUUUGUGUAGUAAGCAGGGUUCGUUUCUCGGUCCUAUUUUAUUUCUAUUGUAUAUAAAUGACCUGGCGUCUCUCCAGAUAAGAGGAUUCUUCACUAUUUUUGCAGAUGACACCACUAUUUUAUGGACAGACAAUAAUAAAAGCACAUUAUCAAGAACAAUUUCUAAAGAUUUAUUAAUGAUUAAACAGUGGUCUGAUGCUAAUUUGUUGUCUUUAAACAUAGAUAAGACUAAAUUAUUAAGUUUUUAUGUUCAGAGAAGUUCAUGAUUCACAACAAAGAAUUGGAAGUGAAUAAUUUUAACAGAUUUCUUGGAAUUGUUAUCGAUCAUAAACCUAAGUUUUAUGGAGAUAUGUCAGGAGGCAAAAACUGGCUCGACGAUGUUUUCGAAAUACGAAAGGAAAAGAUGUUAAUUUGUAAAUGAGAGAAAGUGUUUACAACAAUGUAUAAAUGAUUUUAUUUUAUGUUUUCAAAUAACGCCAGAAACAAAUAAAAAACCAUUUUGCCAAAUUUCACCUUUUUCCUGAAUAUUAGGAAGUAUUUGGCAUUUUUCCAAUUUUUUAAUUGCAUUUAUAUUGCGCAACUUUCGCCUAAUUUAACCAUUUACUGCUCAUCCUUAUUUUGGACUUCCUGUAUAAUCGCGAUGAGACCCUUCAUACUGUUAAACAAAAUAUUUGUUUUUUUUUUCUUAUUAACUUUUUCUAGUUUUAAGAAUUAGUAAUUAAGUGUUUGCCUGUAUUGCAAAUUAAAAUAUGGCCUAUUUUCUAUAUUUUAUAGUGUUGCUACACCCUUAUUCAAAACCUUUUAAAUUUUGCGAUUUUAUUUUUAUAUUAAUUUCAGUUAAAGGUAUCUAUUUUUCAAUAUUUUUGUCCAAAAAAAGUGUACUUCACAGAUCUCAGUACCCUACACAGUUUUUGAGAUAUUGGCUGGUUUCACAAACCCGUAUUUUCAAAAAUCACAUUACGAGCUACUUUUUGCAAAAAAUUAUUGACUCUAAAAAACUAUAGUACCGUAUAUAGAUAUUAAAUCUUUAAUUAUUUAAUUUACUCUUUAUAUUUACGUGAAACCUACCUAUAUCAUCACCUUUAUUAAAUAUUUUUGUUAAUUUUCUAAUUAAUAAAUAAAAGCUAAUUGAAUU
rnacentral:lncRNA from 1 species